CCACGGUACCACUGGCUGACCUUUCACAGUAACUAUAAUCUUCCUAUAUCAGAUUUACAUUCUGCUGCAAAACCAUGAAAUAUAAACACAAAUUUGACCAAUUAACUGAUAAGAAAACCACAAACUGUGUCAUCUUGAUUGGAAAUGUGUCUCUUACGGAUUCACUCAGAAUGGUUUAACCAUGAACACACCACAUUUCCCAAGGAAGACAGAACCUGGAACUGUAAAGAGAUCGGGAGAAAGGCAAGAAAAUAGUCAAUGGCCUGCAACACUGCAAGCAAAAUUGUCAGCUCACCUAAAUCAACAUAUCACAUGCUCCUCCACAGAGCACUGCACUCAAGACCAGGCAGGGGUAUGGGGACUGCCAUUGCCUGUGACUAUAUUAUAUAUGUCCAAUGGGGAAGUUCAGCCACAAGAAGGACACUUGGCUGUUGGAUUUUACAUGCUGCCCUUCUUCAUCUACUCCUAAAUAAAUGAAAAGCCACAAAAGAAAAUUUACUUAUGAGCUAAAUCUCACUCACACUAAAGCAUCAGAAGCAGAAAAUGAGCAAAAUAGCAAUGCAUCUGUACAUUUAUUUUUACAGACCUUGUGUAAGCAGUAUAUGAAACAUUGCAAAGAUACAAAGUUCCUUUACAGGAUAUCUAAACUUCAUCAGAGCAGAAAUAUCUCAGUAGGUAAAAUGUAUUAAUCAAGAAUCAUUAGUUAACGCAAGGAAAUUGCCCCCCUCUCCCCAAACCCGAUAAAGCAAUGGCAAUAGUAUCAAACUAAGUAUCCCAGAAGGUUAUUUUUGGAGGUACAUUACAGAUAAGCAGUAGAAAAGUUUGCAAUCAUCUCUAAUCAGAAAACUACUUAAAUAUUUGAAAUACCGUU
ensembl:lncRNA